AUUGAACGCUGGUGGCAGGCCUAACACAUGCAAGUCGAGGGGUGAAUGGGACCUUGCUCCGGGAUUCAGCGGCGGAGGGGUAAGUAUUGCCUAGGAAUCUGCCUGGAAGGGGGGAACAACGUUUCGAAGGAACCGCAAAUCCCGCUUCCGCCUUACGGGAAAAAGAGGGGGACCUUAGGGCCUGGCCCAAUCAGUUUACAUUAGGUCGGAUUAGCUAGUUGGUGGGGUAAAGGCCUACCAAGGCGACAAUCCGUAAUUGGUCUGAGAGGAUGAUCAGUCACACUGGAACUGAGACACGGUCCAGACUCCUACGGGAGGCAGCAGUGGGGAAUAUUGGACAAUGGGCGAAAGCCUGAUCCAGCCAUGCCGCGUGUGUGAAGAAGGUCUUCGGAUUGUAAAGCACUUUAAGUUGGGAGGAAGGGCAGUAAGUUAAUACCUUGCUGUUUUGACGUUACCAACAGAAUAAGCACCGGCUAACUUCGUGCCAGCCGCCGCCGUAACAC
rnacentral:rRNA from 1 species